rnacentral:rRNA from 1 species
UACGAAGGGGGCUAGCGUUGUUCGGAUUUACUGGGCGUAAAGCGCACGUAGGCGGACUAUUAAGUCAGGGGUGAAAUCCCGGGGCUCAACCCCGGAACUGCCUUUGAUACUGGUAGUCUUGAGUUCGAGAGAGGUGAGUGGAAUUCCGAGUGUAGAGGUGAAAUUCGUAGAUAUUCGCAAGAACACCAGUGGCGAAGGCGGCUCACUGGCCCGAUACUGACGCUGAGGCACGAAAGCGUGGGGAGCAAACAGG